CUACUACACUGUAAAAAAUAAUUCAGUGGCUUAGUAAAUUUCACAAAAAUAAAGAGCUAUAUUAACUUAAUAAAAUCUUUUGAAAUCAUUUAAGUGAUAUUUUGAGUGGGUCAGAUUAAAAAGAAUAAUUAAAAAUCCAACAAAUAAUUUCUCUAAAAUUUACAUAUAUUAUUUAAGUUUAUGUAAUGAAAAUAAAUAAGUAUUUAACUAACUAAUUAUAUUUUUAAUAUACCUUCAAUAUUUCUGGUGAAUUCUAAUAGAAAUAUUUGAUAAUUAUUUACUUGUACUGAUCUGUUUUAGAAACUAAAGUUAUUAAGUAUUUCCAACCAAUUUUCCUAAAUAAAGUUCCAGCUUAAUAAAUGACAGUUUAAAUAAAUUGAGUAAAUUUCGCGGCUAAAGUGAUCACGUGUGCAGCUCCGCAGGAAAAAAAAAAAUCUGCUUUCCUCAGCAGCGACGUCGACUAGCCAUACACCUCACAGCUCCUGUUUCGUAGCUUAAUCGAAGUCACCUGAAGGACGGCUUUCCUCAGCAACGGCAAGACCCGCACUCCUCUCAUAUCGUGAAGUUUAACAAGUUUCGCGGCUCAAACAAGAGGCACCUGUCACUGAAGGACUGCUUUUCUCAGCAACGACGUGAACAGCAUUACUCGAAUUUCCUUUAAGUAACGCAGUCCUUUUAUAACUGUAUAUUUGCAAAACUGUUUUCAAAAGUUGAUUAAACAUUGACCGUGUGUACGUGUACAUAACAGUGUAGUUUUCGAAGUUAGUUAGUGGGGCAGCCAUAUGUAUGUUAGUUUUUUUUUUUUUUUUUUUUUGGAGUGGGUUAACGUUCGUACUAUUUGGAUCACCGUUUAUUUCAACCGCCAUUUGAAAGUCUAACGAUAAGUGUACCGUGGUCCAGCAACUAUAACUAUACAUGCCCAAUGGAAAACGAUUUUGUACAGGUUCCCCUUUGGGGUCAGUGGCUUGUCAAAAGGGAACACAUCAUUUAUGAACUUUCAAAUGACAACAUUCUUUCUUGUAAAAAGCUGUCACGUUGUUGUAAAACAUCAUAAUUACUACACGAACUCAAGUAUGAGCUCUUAAAUCACCACUACAAAUACGCCAUGCAAAAGUAUUUAAAAUGGCGUGGACAUAACAUAGACUGGUGCGUUUUAAUCAGCUCCCACUAUAGGGAGUCGGACAGUUUAAGGCCUGCUCCAUUGUAAAAUCAUUCUAGUGCACUGAAACCUAGAUCACAUACAAUAUCGGUCAAAAGUUUGAAAACCGUAAGCUUUUUAAUGUAACACAUCCAGACCUGGUGGGUAUUGAAGGACAGCGGAGGCUGGGGGAGGGGUACGUUGUUUUAAUUGAGUAAACUUACUAAAUUUCUUAAGAGUGUGUUUAAAUAUA